CUCGUUCUAAAUUAGGGGUAUAACAUUCUAACAUAAAAGAAGCCACGCCAGUGUGCGCUUUCCAAAAGAUUUAGAAGACUCAAAGAGAAGAAGGGUGUCAUAACAGUUUAUAUACAGUUCAUAGAAUAUCAAAGCAGUAAAAAGCGGCAAUUAGCACAUUAGGCUCAAACAAGUAAUAUCAGACAAUCGCAAAUUGCCAAGUAUAAUAGUCAUUCUAAGCUCGAAUUUUGAACCCUAAACCAGAGAUUCUGGGUUCGGUCCCCAGCAGAGUCGCUAGAGCUGUCACACCUCCUUUUCCCCGAAGGAUAGAGAGUUUUUCCAAUUAAAGUGACAUUAAUCGAAAUGAGAGUAUUUAUUUGAUCAGAGUCGCCACUUGGAAUAAUUUAUGGUGUUCCAAGUCAACGGUUUAUUUUAGAAUCCCAAAUCGAGGAAAUUGACUAUAUUAUGGUCCACGAACACAGAAGAUCGGGUAAGAAAUUUUGUUAACCCGGAAGAAGGUGUGAGGCACUCCCGAGUUCCGUGAUUUUAGCAUGGUCGCUUAACAAAUAAUACUUGACUUAAUUAUCUGAAUUAUUACAUGUUUUAAACCUAUUGUGCAUUUUACCUAUGACCACUUUUAAUAAUGUAUUUAAAUCGCUUUUUAGUAUUUAUGGAGUUAUUUCUUGAAUAAGUUACGAUGUCGUACACUUUUCGUUUUGGUACAUAUUACAAAGCGCGCCACGUGAAACGCACCCGCGAUUUAUAACAUGUUUAUUAUUAUUGAUUGAAGUUGUGGUCAAGUCUUGUGAAACGCGCACUCGAAUUGGGGUUUAUGUAUCAUGACUAUGCCACGGGAACCGUACCCAUAGUCACGAUGAUUUAUUUAAAUGCGCCUACGGCAACUAGCGCAUUCAAAUUAUUUUUCAAAACUAAUUUGAGAUAAUUGUGAGACCAUAAAUUAUGGAAUAGUUAUAAAAAAUAAAGUAAAUUGGUUAUCAGAAGAUGUGCUAGCUUUGUUAUUAAACAGAAAAUGGGCUAGCUAUGUUAUUUAUUACUCUGGGCCUGGCAAAUUAACUUUGUUUGGCCCAGUUCCGUGUUCAUGAAGGAAACAUAAGGUCCACUAUUUUACAAAUGUGUGUCUAACUAUAUCUAUAAGCUACUAUUUAUACUAAAACCUUAUAGAGAAAGACCUCCAAAUUCCAAACCAAUUAAUCACGAAAUGCAGCAAAAGGUUUAAUUGACAAAUUUAUUAUGGAAAAAAGAAAUAAAAUAGAAUAAAGUUUGGAGAUAUAUAGAUAACACCAAGACAACAAACCAAACAUGAACUUCUGGCCCGUCAACAUUGAAAGCAUUUUGAUUAGAGUCUUCGUUCAUGAUUAGUAAAUUAAUGACAACAAAAUAUCAAAAUUAACAUGUCCAACAUGGUUUCCUUUAUCUCACAUUAACACGAUUAAACAAGUAACUCAAUGAAACACCGUUAAGGCUCGUCGAAGUACGAAAUUUAUUUAAAAGUAGAAGAGAAUGGACCUUUACAAUUGCUUGACUGUUUCCUUCAAAAUUCGAACAACAAUGAACCUCUGACCGGAGCCAGAACUGCUAAACGGAGACCUCACCGGUGAGAUCGAACUGUGACUUUGAACCCGACCAAAGCUAUAGAUGGAGACGUUUGAUUGGGAAGUAUCAGCUACAACAAAUGGGUUUCGGGUUGGUGUUUCAAUGGGUUUUAGGGCUGUUUUAUUGCGUUUUUGAGCUGGAGUUUCCAGUUGGUUUUUAUGGAGUUUCGAGAAAGGAAAGUGAAGUUUUGUGUGGAUGUACAGAUGGAGAAGAGCUGGCUUUAAUGGAAUUUUAUGGCUGUGCUUUUCAUGGUGUUCCCACAGUGAAGGUGAAAGCAAGUAAAGAAGAAAGGAAAGAGAGAUCUACUGUUGCUGCACGCGAGAAGAAGAAGAAGAAGGCACUACUUGGAUUUUAGUCCUCAAAUCGUUCUCUUUUCCCGGAUCUAUUUUCUCUUUUUUUCAUUUCCCCCUGUUUUUGUUUCCUCCCUCUAUCUCUAUUUCCCAGGUGCUCUCUCUGUUUUUUACGUCCUCCAAAUCUAUCCUUUCUCAACCUUUGUGCCCCUCCCCCCAAAGUUUGGAGAUAUAGAGAUAACACUAAGAUAGCAAACCAAACGCGAACCUCUGGCCCGUCAAUAUUGAAAGCAUUUUGAUUAGAGUCUUCGUUCAUGAUUAGCAAAUUAAUGACAACAAAAUAUCAAAAUUAACAUGUCCAACAUGGUUUCCUUCAUUUCACAUUAACACGAUUAAACAAGUAACUCAAUGAAACACCGUUAAGGCUCGUCGAAGUACAAAAUUUAUUUAAAAGUAGAAGAGAAUGGACCUUUACAAUUGCUUGACUGUUUCCUUCAAAAUUCGAACAAGAAUAAAUCUCUGACCGGAGCCGGAACCACUAAACGGAGACCUCAUCGGCGAGAUCGAACUGCGACCUUGAACCCGACCAAAGCUAUGGAUGAAGACAUUGGACUGGAAGUAUCAGCUACAACAAAUGGGUUUCGGGUUGGUGUUUCAAUUGAUUUUGGGGCUAUUUUAUUGCGUUUUUGAGCUGGAGUUUCCAGCAAAUUUUUAUGGAGUUUCGAGGAAGGAAAGUGAAGUUUUUUGUGGAUGUAAAGAUGGAGAAGAGCUGGCUUUAAUAGAGUUUUAUGGCUGUGCUUUUCAUGGUGUUCCCACAGUGAAGGUGGAAGCAAGUAAAGAAGAAGGGAAAGAGAGAUCUACUGUUGCUGCACGCGAGAAGAAGAAGAAGAAGGCACUGCUUGGAUUUUAGUCCUCAAAUCGUUCUCUUUUCCCGGAUCUAUUUACUUUUUUUUUUCAUUUCCCCCAUAUUUUUGUUUCCUCCCUCUAUCUCUAUUUUCCAGGUGCUCUCCUUGUUUUUUACGUCCUCCAGAUCUAUCCUUUCUCAACCUUUGUGCCCCCCUCCCUCCCAAAGUUUGGAGAUAUAGAGAUAACACCAAGACAACAAACCAAACGUGAACCUCUGGCCCGUCAACAUUGAAAGUAUUUUGAUUAGAGUCUUCGUUCAUGAUUUGCAAAUUAAUGGCAACAAAAUAUCAAAAUUAACAUGUCCAACAUGGUUUUUUUUAUCUCACAUUAAUACGAUUAAACAAGUAACUCAAUGAAACACCGUUAAGGCUCGUCGAAGUACGAAAUUUAUUUAAAAGUAGAAGAGAAUAGACCUUUAAAAUUGCUUGACUGUUUCCUUCAAAAUUCGAACAAGAAUGAACCUCUGACCGGAGCCGGAACCGCUAAACGGAGACCUCACCGGCGAGAUCGAACUGUGACUUUGAACCCGACCAAAGCUAUGGAUGGAGACGUUUGAUUGGGAAGUAUCAGCUACAACAAAUGGGUUUUAGGUUGGUGUUUCAAUGAAUUUUAGGGCUGUUUUAUUGCGUUUUUUAGCUGGAGUUUCCAGCUGAUUUUUAUGGAGUUUCGAAGAAGGAAAGUGAAGUUUUGUGUGGAUGUAAAGAUGGAGAAGAACUGGCUUUAAUGGAAUUUAUUGGCUGUGCUUUUCAUGGUGUUCCCAAAGUGAAGGUGAAAGCAAGUAAAGAAGAAAGAAAAGAGAGAUCUACUGUUGCUGCACGCGAGAAGAAGAAGAAGAAGGCACUACUUGGAUUUUAGUCCUCAAAUCGUUCUCUUUUCCCGGAUUUAUUUCCUCUUUUUUCCAUUUCCCCCUUGUUUUUGUUUUCUCCCUCUAUCUCUAUUUCCCAGGUGCUCUCUCUGUUAUUUACGUCGUCCAGAUCUAUCCUUUUUCAACCUUUGUGCCUCCCUCCCCCUUAGUGAAGGUCUGCUAGGUCUAAAAUAAUAGAGAGUGGGCGUGGAUUUUUUGACAAGGUAAAAGAGGGGGUCUGGGCUAGGUAGAUUCAGGAGGAGUAAUUGGGCCGCCUAACAUUUGGCCCAAUUCAAAAACC
rnacentral:lncRNA from 1 species